rnacentral:rRNA from 1 species
UGGGGAAUAUUGCACAAUGGGCGCAAGCCUGAUGCAGCAACGCCGCGUGAGGGACGACGGCCUUCGGGUUGUAAACCUCUUUUGGCCGGGAAGAAGCGAAAGUGACGGUACCUGCAGAAAACGCACCGGCUAACUACGUGCCAGCAGCCGCGGUGAUACGUAGGGUGCAUGCGUUGUCCGGAAUUAUUGGGCGUAAAGAGCUCGUAGGCGGUUUGUCGCGUCUGCUGUGAAAACCCGAGGCUCAACCUCGGGCCUGCAGUGGGUACGGGCAAACUAGAGUGCGGUAGGGGAGAUUGGAAUUCCUGGUGUAGCGGUGGAAUGCGCAGAUAUCAGGAGGAACACCGAUGGCGAAGGCAGAUCUCUGGGCCGUAACUGACGCUGAGGAGCGAAAGCAUGGUGAGC